rnacentral:lncRNA from 1 species
UACCUUUAAUCCAACAUCAUUAAGUAGUAGUUUCUCUAGUGCUUCUCGUGAUUACAACAAAUUUUAUUCAAAGCCCCUAACAUGGUAUUUAAAACCAAUUGAUUUCUAUUUCACUUUUAUGGUUAACAUAAAAUCGCAUGUAAUUACAAUAAAUAUAUUCACAAAUAAGUCCCAUUUAAAUUAUUUCUUAUUCACAAAAAAAAAAAUAAUGCAAUCUUAAAUAUCAGGUAAAACUAAAACUCAAACAAAACAAAUUUAUUCCACAUAUUAAAAAAUCACAAACCUUUUUUUAUUAAAGCAUUUAUCUAUAUUAUAAUUUAAAAUUGUCCAACCUAAGAAAAAUGCACCAAAAAACUUGGCAUAUAGCAAUUUUCGAUUUGGAAUGCCACAAAACAGAGCAAAAUUCUUUUUUAUCGGCUGUAUAAUAACAAUCUUUGUAAAAAAUUGCAUAAUGCAGAUCAUUACCUCUAUAGCCACAGAAAGGUGGUCCCACCUUAUAGUUUGUCACCUUGUAACUUCGUCUACAAUAACUCAAAAAGUAUAUGAACUAAAGGUGUUAACAAAUGAUCUUGUCAGUUUUGUAGAUAAAGUCAUCAAGUAUUCUACUCUCAAGACUUAAAUUUACUCGAAUAAAUUUACUUUUGUACAGUAUUAUUUUUUAAACAAAGUAUGUGAUUGCAAUUUAUUUUCUUUAACAUAAUUUAUAUGUACUAAGUCGACAGAGAAAAUUGAACAAUUUCUACAAUCUGGAUGUACUUCUCGUUCUUCGGUCAUCGUUUUUGUUUGUACAGUAUAUUACUGCAGAUGUUGAAAAAGAACAUAAACCAUCAGAAAAUGUAUUUUCAAUUUUGGCAGGACAAUAAAGAUAAGUUUUCUUAAGUCUCUUCACAUCAAAUUUCAUAUUCUCAUAUCUUAUUGGGUCAUAAAAUUGUAUCUAUGCGAUUAUACUAAAUAUAAAAACAUGCAUAUAUCAAACUGUACAUAUCAGAAAACACUUUGCAGGGCAUAAGAGCUGACCUUGCAACUAAAAAACUAAAAUCGUCACUCUUCCAAAGUAUAUAACACAAAAAGCAACUUGAAAUCUCGUAACCUAAGUAGGUUAUGAGAUUUAGUCGACUAUCAGAAACCAAUCCGUGUUUGCUGGAUAUCAUAAUGAAGUAAAAAAAAAAUCAUAUUUUCAAUUAUCACAAUUAUAAGCAGAUUGGGCAACCAUAGCUUUUGUAACUUCAUCAAAACAGUGAGCAUUAAAAUAUUUAGGCUUACGGAUACAAUUGAACCGACUAUUCUCAACAUUAAACCAAUCAAUUGGUAUAAAAAAUACUCCCCAGAUAAUAGUUCAACAAAAGCCCCAACUUAACAAAAUUGCAUAUUGUUUGUUGGUGAAAAUAUCCAAGAAUCAUCACAGACUCAAAUUUAAUAUCGAUAUUGGCUUAGCUUGGGUGAAAUCUUCAACCCAUAAGAUAAGUUUUUGAUUUCUUACUAACAACCAUUAUAUUAAUAAUAUUCCAAAACUAAAUAGAGAUUAGAGAGGGAAUUACGAUCUGUAUUUUUAGAGAUUAAAGACCUUACCUGUGCAUGAGCAUGUAUUUCUGGUUGACUGAUAUCCGUUCCAAUAUAGGAAAUAGCAUAAUUUUGAGGAUAAUGAUCCGAGUAAAUAGCUAAUGAAAGAAAAACAUAUUCAAUUUUGCGGAUAAUCAUGUGAAAUCAAACACAUGCAGGUUGUAACAAUAACAUAAAUAUACAAAAUAGAAAAAAAUAAAAAAAAAAAAGGUCAAAAUACAACUUACAGAAUAUUGCAUGGACAAACAAUGAACAAAAAUUGAACUUACAGUUUACAUCCAUUAACACAAUUUGUAGUUAUCACAAUUCCAAAACCUACUACUGAAACAAUUUCUUACCAGUGGUAGACUCGUCUCUCUCUAAUUUGCUUUUAAUAUGAAACCAUAGAUUGUCAAAAGAGAUUCCAAAACUAAAAUCAAUAUAAAAAUGAGAACCAGCAAAUCUAGGCAAUCAAAAUCAGAACGCGUAAAUUUAGGAAAUAAAAAUUGACCUUCAAUAUAUCAAAGGGAGAGUUGUAAAUUGGAAAAAAAGUUGAUGCAUUUACCUUAUAAUUGUGUGGUGUUCCAAUCCUCAACAAAACCUAGAUGGUUGGACGAAGAUGUAGGUAUAGAUUUAAAUUUGGAUUAAUGGCUUAACUAAGAGACAAGGUUUGCAGAGAGCGAAAUGAAGAACUGAAAAUAAGGAGCAGUCAUACCAUCCAAAGAAAGCCAGGGAAGAUAAGAGCGUCAGAGUGAAGGUCCGAAAUGGAUUAUCAGUUAUCAAAACCUAAAUUAGAAUAUGGGGAGCAAACAGUUCAUAGAAAACCGGUGGUAUGGAGUUAGGGCAUCAAUAUGAAACAACGAUUAUGCUUCUUAUCUGCAAAGAAACCCAUCAAUUGAUCAAUUAUAGAGGAGCGGUGGCGAAACGGGCAAAUGUUGAUAUAUUGGGUUGUUAGGUAGAGAGAGGUGAUGGAGGUAGUGUAUUGAGAAAGUAAGGAAGCAUUAGAGGAAAGGAAUCAUUGGAGGAGGUGAAUGGAAGCGUGGAGAUGAAGAGAUUACUUUUCAAACGGUGGCACAUUGUCCCAUUUAGUGGAAUUUAGUGGAACCAUG